rnacentral:misc_RNA from 1 species
ACUCUUCAACUCCCCAAUUUCUUGUAGAUUGUGUGGAUGUUUGGAUUUUGAAUGUUGCUGGCUCUUCGGAGCGAAGCUCGUUCGUAAUACAUUAGCAUUUCUAAUUCGAACUCGGAUUGACUCAGUGUAAUAGACUAUUCGCUGAGGACACUAGUUUUACUAGUGGCCGUGUUCAAUACAAGAGAAGCUUCUAAUCCCUCUAGUCAUUUUUGA